rnacentral:rRNA from 1 species
UACAGAGGGUGCGAGCGUUGUUCGGAAUUAUUGGGCGUAAAGGGCGCGUAGGCGGUGCGGUAAGUCACCUGUGAAAUCUCCUGGCUCAACUGGGAGCUUGCAGGCGAAACUGCCGUGCUGGAGUGUGGGAGAGGUGCGUGGAAUUCCUGGUGUAGCGGUGAAAUGCGUAGAUAUCAGGAGGAACACCUGUGGCGAAAGCGGCGCACUAGACCACAACUGACGCUGAGGCGCGAAAGCUAGGGGAGCAAACAGG